UCUAAGGGUCCGUUCGUUUAUCACACCCAAAUCUUGAUGUCGAGGAUCUCAGUCUUCAACGUCACCAUCUGAAAAUUUACUCUUGUUGGGUUGUUUCGCCCGACAAGACUAGACCUAGCAAUGACAAGCAAAGUAGAGAAAGUAAAGUAAAGAAAACAAUAGAAAAGAAAUCAACAAAAAAGCAAGAGUAGAAAAGAGUAUUAGCCGUUUCUAAGAUUUUGAGCAGCGACUCUCUACAAUGUUUACACUGUUUACAUUGUAGGAAUAGUCGCUUGCAAUGAAUAGCUGCAUCGCUACUAGAACUAUUGCAUGUGAAACAGUAAAUACCAGACUAGAAAGAUGAGAAGACCACUAGAGAAGAAGGACUAGAGGAGAAAAGGGACUAGAGGAAAAAAGGAACUAGAGAAAAAGGACCAGAGAAAAAAUGAUUAGAUGAGUAAGUGAGUUAGAAAAAAAACAAUUAACCACAAAAAAAAAUAAAUAAAAAAUAAAAAUAAAACAAUCAAGAGCAUGCCUUAUUUGUCAGCAACCUUCCUUUAUUAGACAGCGUCAACACAUCUCAAUACAAAAUCUUCAUCUCACUUCCUCCUAUACUUCAACACAGCAUCUUCCACCUUGUCUUUUUGCUUGCCCCGCUGCCGCCCUUCAAGCUCGUCGGUACUUGUUCUCAUAUUCGGUUUUACCUCGGAUGCUGUUACCUCGAUACCAGGUUGGGUCACCUAAUUUUCUUGCAAAAGUCCGUUAUCCCAAGUUGUCCCA